GUAAAACUCUUCUGAGCUCUGCUACCCAGAACAAGCUGACUUCUCCAUGGAUGAAUACAGUAAUCCCCGCCCCCUUAUCUGGAGUUACUGUUACCUGCGGUCAGCUGGUCAACCAAGGUCUGGAAACAGCGGAUCCUCCUUCCGACAUAGCAUCAGAAGGUAACAGUAGCCUAAAGCUAUAUCACAAUGUCUACAUCGUUCACCUCCCUUCUCUCAUCACAGAGGGAUUUUAUCAUCUCACAUAAUCCCAAGAAAAAGAUGAGCGCAUUCCCAAGGACAAAUUUAAAAGCAUUAAUGCAGCUUUAUAUCUUUGAAGUGGCCUACUCUGUCGCAGGCAUUCGGCAUUAUGGAGCUCUCUGGUCCAGCUGUCACAUGCUCACUACUGGGAAAAGUCCAUUUGAGGACACAGCAAGAAGGCAAGCUGGCUGUACGUGAGGAAGACAGCGCUCAUCAAGAACAGAAUCUGUCAGCACCUUGGUCUUGGACUUCCCAGCUUCUAGAACUGUGAAAAAUGCCUGUUGCUUAAACCACUCAGUGGUUUUACUCAGUAUUUUGUUAGAAGAGGUUAUGCUGACUAAGAUACACCAAAGGGUACAGGUGACAGAG